GGGGAUAUAGCUCAGUUGGUAGAGUGCUUGCUUAGCAUGCACAAGACCCUGGGUUCAAACCCCAGCACCA
rnacentral:tRNA from 1 species